AUGAAUCUCUUAGCCUGGAACUGUCGAGGGUUGGGGUUGGACUCGACAGUGGGCGAACUAAGGGACCUGAUUAGGUCAUACAAACCAGCGGUGGUGUUUCUUAGUGAGACGAAGAAAAGGGGGGAGUCUAUGAAUAUUCUUAGGAGGAGAUUGGGGUUCCAGCACGGUCAACACGUUAACUGUGUGGGCAAAAGUGGAGGAUUAGCAUUAUGGUGGCGAGAUGGUGUGGAUGUUACUCUAAGACGAUGG
rnacentral:rRNA from 1 species